GAUGAACGCUGGCGGCGUGCCUAAUACAUGCAAGUCGAGCGAACAGACGAGGAGCUUGCUCCUCUGACGUUAGCGGCGGACGGGUGAGUAACACGUGGAUAACCUACCUAUAAGACUGGGAUAACUUCGGGAAACCGGAGCUAAUACCGGAUAAUAUAUUGAACCGCAUGGUUCAAUAGUGAAAGACGGUUUUGCUGUCACUUAUAGAUGGAUCCGCGCCGCAUUAGCUAGUUGGUAAGGUAACGGCUUACCAAGGCAACGAUGCGUAGCCGACCUGAGAGGGUGAUCGGCCACACUGGAACUGAGACACGGUCCAGACUCCUACGGGAGGCAGCAGUAGGGAAUCUUCCGCAAUGGGCGAAGGCCUGACGGAGCAACGCCGCGUAAGUGAUGAAGGUCUUCGGAUCGUAAAACUCUGUUAUUAGGGAAGAACAAAUGUGUAAGUAACUAUGCACGUCUUGACGGUACCUAAUCAGAAAGCCACGGCUAACUACGUG
rnacentral:rRNA from 1 species